AGUCGAGCGGAAGGCCCUUCGGGGUACUCGAGCGGCGAACGGGUGAGUAACACGUGAGUAACCUGCCCUAGGCUUUGGGAUAACCCCGGGAAACCGGGGCUAAUACCGAAUAUGACUGGCUGCCGCAUGGUGGUUGGUGGAAAGAUUUUUCGGCUUGGGAUGGACUCGCGGCCUAUCAGCUUGUUGGUGGGGUAAUGGCCUACCAAGGCGGCGACGGGUAGCCGGCCUGAGAGGGCGACCGGCCACACUGGGACUGAGACACGGCCCAGACUCCUACGGGAGGCAGCAGUGGGGAAUCUUGCACAAUGGGCGGAAGCCUGAUGCAGCGACGCCGCGUGAGGGAUGACGGCCUUCGGGUUGUAAACCUCUUUCAGCAGGGACGAAGCGUUUGUGACGGUACCUGCAGAAGAAGCGCCGGCCAACUACGUGCCAGCAGCCGCGGUAAGACGUAGGGCGCAGCGUUGUCCGGAUUUAUUGGGCGUAAAAGAGCUCGUAAGGGGGCUUGUCGCGUCGACUGGUGAAAAACCCGUGGCUUCACCUGGCGGGCUUGGAGUCCGAUUACGGGGCAGGCUAAAAUUCCGGAGGGGGAGACUGGAAU
rnacentral:rRNA from 1 species